UACGAAGGGGGCUAGCGUUGCUCGGAAUCACUGGGCGUAAAGGGUGUGUAGGCGGUCUCGUAAGUCUGGUGUGAAAUCUCCCGGCUCAACUGGGAGGGUGCGCCGGAAACUGCGAGGCUAGAGUGUGGGAUGGGAGAGUGGAAUUCCUGGUGUAGCGGUGAAAUGCGUAGAUAUCAGGAGGAACACCUGCGGUGUAGACGGCUCUCUGGACCACUACUGACGCUGAAACACGAAAGCGUGGGUAGCAAACAGG
rnacentral:rRNA from 1 species